rnacentral:lncRNA from 1 species
UCCGGCCCCGCAUUCCCGGCGGGAUCGGCCCCGGAACUCCCGGAAUUCCCAGCAGGAUCGGCCCCGGAAUUCCCGGAAUUCCCAGCGGGAUCGGCCCCGGAAUUCCCGGAAUUCCCGGAAUUCCCGGCGGGAUCGGCUCCGGAAUUCCCGGAAUUCCCAGCGGGAUCGGCUCCGGGAUCCCCCGAGGGCAGCGCGGCCCCAACGGAGCCCCCACAGGUGGGUCGGGAAUAUCGGGAAUAUCGGGAAUAUUUGGAAUAUCGGGAAUGGGAACUUUGGGAAUGUUGGGAAUAUCGGGAAUAUCGGGAAUACUGGGAAUAUUGGGAAUGGGAACUAUGGGAAUUACCAGGAAUGGGAAUAUUGGGGUUGGGAACAUUGGGAAUAUUGGGAAUAUUGGGAAUACUGGGAAUAUUGGGAAUAUCGGGAAUAUCGGGAAUGGAAACUUUGGGAAUUACCAGGGAUGGGAAUAUUGGGAUUGGGAAUAUUGGGAAUGUUGGGAAUAUCGGGAAUAUCGGGAAUGGGAACUUUGGGAAUGUUGGGAAUGUUGGGAAUAUCAGGAAUAUUGGGAAUAUUGGGAAUCUCAGGAAUAUCAGGAAUGGGAAAUAUGGGAAUUACCAGGAAUGGGAAUAUUGGGAUUGGGAACGUUGGGAAUGUUGGGAAUAUUGGGAAUGUUGGGAAUAUUGGGAAUAUUGGGAAUGUUGGGAAUAUUGGGAAUGUUGGGAUUGGGAAUGUUGGGAAUGGGAAUAUUGGGAAUGGGAACUUUGGGAAUUAUCAGGAAUGGGAAUAUUGGGAUUGGGAACGUUGGGAUUGGGAAUGUUGGGAAUCUCGGGAAUAUCAGGAAUGGGAAUAUUGGGAAUUUUGGGAAUGUUGGGAAUGGGAACUUUGGGAAUGGGAAUAUCAGGAAUGGGAAUAUUGGGAAUUUUGGGAAUGUUGGGAAUGGGAACUUUGGGAAUAUCGGGAAUGGGAACUUUGGGAUUGGGAAUUUUGGGAUUCAGGGUCUCCCUCCCCCCCAAUCCUGCCCAGAACAUCGGGAUCGGGAUCCGAGGGGCUGGGAAUGGGAUCCGGGAUCCGGGAAUUUGGGAUUUGGGAUCUGGGAUUUGGGAUCUGGGAUCUGGGAAUUGGGAAUUUGGGAUCUGGGAAUUUGGGAUUUGGGAAUUUGGGAUUUGGGAAUUUGGGAUUUGGGAUCUGGGAAUGGGAUCUGGGAAUUGGGAUCUGGGAAUUGGGAAUUUGGGAUUUGGGAUCUGGGGUUUGGGAAUUUGGGAUCUGGGAAUGGGAUCUGGGAUUUGGGAUCAGGAAUUCGGGGAUUUGGAA